rnacentral:rRNA from 1 species
UAGAGUUUGAUCCUGGCUCAGGACGAACGCUGGCGGCAGGCUUAACACAUGCAAGUCGCACGAGAACGUUCUGGCUUUGCCAGGACAAGUACAGUGGCGGACGGGUGCGUAUCGCGUAGAUAACCUGCCCUCAGGCGCGGGACAAUCACGGGAAACCGUGGCUAAUACCGCACGUCGUCUGGACCCCGCAUGGGGACCAGAUGAAAGCCUUCGGGCGCCUUUGGAUGGGUCUGCGUUGGAUUAGCUUGUUGGUGAGGUAACGGCUCACCAAGGCAACGAUCCAUAGCCGGUCUGAGAGGACGAUCAGCCACACUGGGACUGAGACACGGCCCAGACUCCUACGGGAGGCAGCAGUGGGGAAUCUUGCACAAUGGGGUCACCCCUGAUGCAGCCAUGCCGCGUGGAGGAAGACACCCCUAUGGGGCGUAAACUCCUUUUCUGAAUGAAGAAACCCCUGUAGCUUCAGGGCGCGACGGUAGUUCAGGAAUAAGCACCGGCUAACUCCGUGCCAGCAGCCGCGGUAAUACGGAGGGUGCAAGCGUUGUCCGGAAUCACUGGGUGUAAAGGGUGUGCAGGCGGGGCAGCAAGUCGGAUGUGAAACCCCAUGGCUUAACCAUGGAGGUGCAUUCGAAACUGUUGCUCUUGAGUCCCGGAGAGGCUGUCGGAAUUCGUGGUGUAGCGGUGAAAUGCGUAGAUAUCACGAGGAACACCAGAGGCGAAAGCGGACAGCUGGACGGGUACUGACGCUCAGCACGAAAGCGUGGGGAGCAAACAGGAUUAGAUACCCUGUAGUCCACGCCGUAAACGAUGAAUGCUCGCCGUUGCCUCGUUAGGGGGCAGUGGCUAAAGCUAACGCGUUAAGCAUUCCACCUGGGGAGUACGAUCGCAAGGUUGAAACUCAAAGGAAUUGACGGGGGCCCGCACAAGCGGUGGAGCAUGUGGCUCAAUUCGAUGCAACGCGAAGAACCUUACCUAGGCUCGAACGCUAAAGGACCGCUCCUGAAAGGGAGCUUCCCCUUUUGGGCCUUUAGCGAGGUACUGCAUGCCAUGCCGUCAGCUCGUGUCGUGAGAUGUUGGUAAGUCCCGCAACGAGCGUAACCCCUGUUGCUAGUUACCAGCGGAUAAUGCCGGGGACUCUAGCGAAACUGCCUGCGCAAGCAGUGAGGAAGGUG